rnacentral:rRNA from 1 species
ACGCCUAAUACAUGCAAGUCGAACGAAGUAGCAAUACUUAGUGGCAGACGGGUGAGUAACAUGUGGGUAUCUUCCCUUUGGUGAGGAAUAACACGAGGAAACUUGUGCUAAUACUUCAUAAGUCUUUACGGAGAAAGCUUUAUGCGCCAAUGGAUGAGCCUGCACUUGAUUAGUUAGUUGGUAGGGUAAUGGCCUACCAAGACAUUGAUCAAUAGCUGAUUUGAGAGGAUGAUCAGCCACAUUGGGACUGAGACACGGCCCAAACUCCUACGGGAGGCAGCAGUAGGGAAUCUUGCACAAUGGGGGAAACCCUGAUGCAGCGAUGCCGCGUGAGUGAAGAAGGCCCUUGGGUUGUAAAGCUCUUUCGUCGGGGAAGAAAAUGACUGUACCCGAAUAAGAAGGUCCGGCUAACUUCGUGCCAGCAGCCGCGGUAAUACGAAGGGACCUAGCGUAGUUCGGAAUUACUGGGCUUAAAGAGUUCGUAGGUGGUUAAAAAAGUUGGUGGUGAAAUCCCAGAGCUUAACUCUGGAACUGCCAUCAAAACUUUUUAGCUAGAGUAUGAUAGAGGAAAGCAGAAUUUCUAGUGUAGAGGUGAAAUUCGUAGAUAUUAGAAAGAAUACCAAUUGCGAAGGCAGCUUUCUGGAUCAUUACUGACACUGAGGAACGAAAGCAUGGGUAGCGAAGAGGAUUAGAUACCCUCGUAGUCCAUGCCGUAAACGAUGUGUGUUAGACGUUGGAAAUUUUUUUCAGUGUCUCAGCGAAAGCAAUAAACACACCGCCUGGGGAGUACGACCGCA